rnacentral:rRNA from 1 species
GACGAACGCUGGCGGCGUGCCUAAUACAUGCAAGUCGAACGCAGUGGGGACGGGUGCGUAACACGUGGGUAACCUCCCAUCAGAGGGGAUAACACUUGGAAACAGGUGCUAAACCGAUAUUGGUGGAUGUACCCGCGGUGCAUUAGCCAGUUGGUGGGGUAACGGCUCACCAAGGCCACGAUGCAUAGCCGGCCUGAGAGGGUGAUCGGCCACACUGGGACUGAGACACGGCCCAGACUCCUACGGGAGGCAGCAGUGGGGAAUAUUGGGCAAUGGACGAAAGUCUGACCGAGCAACGCCGCGUGUGUGAAGAAGGUUUUCGGAUCGUAAAACUCUGUUAGUAGGGAGGCGGUAUCUACACAGAAAGCCACGGCUAACUACGUGCCAGCAGCCGCGGUAAUAC